rnacentral:rRNA from 1 species
CUACGGGACGCAGCAGUGGGGAAUAUUGCACAAUGGGGGAAACCCUGAUGCAGCAACGCCGCGUGGAGGAUGACGCAUUUCGGUGUGUAAACUCCUUUUAUAUAGGAAGAUAAUGACGGUACUAUAUGAAUAAGCACCGGCUAACUCCGUGCCAGCAGCCGCGGUAAUACGGAGGGUGCAAGCGUUACUCGGAAUCACUGGGCGUAAAGCGCGCGCAGGCGGCCUUUUAAGUUGGAUGUGAAAGCCUACGGCUCAACCGUAGAACUGCAUCCAAAACUACUAGGCUAGAGUCUGGGAGGGGAAGAUGGAAUUAGUUGUGUAGGGGUAAAAUCCGUAGAGAUAACUAGGAAUACCAAAAGCGAAGGCAAUCUUCUGGAACAGUACUGACGCUGAGGCGCGAAAGCGUGGGGAGCAAACAGGAUUAGAUACCCUAGUAGUC